rnacentral:rRNA from 4 species
UUAAUUGAAGAGUUUGAUCAUGGCUCAGAUUGAACGCUGGCGGCAGGCCUAACACAUGCAAGUCGAACGGUAACAGGAAGCAGCUUGCUGCUUUGCUGACGAGUGGCGGACGGGUGAGUAAUGUCUGGGAAACUGCCUGAUGGAGGGGGAUAACUACUGGAAACGGUGGCUAAUACCGCAUAACGUCGCAAGACCAAAGAGGGGGACCUUCGGGCCUCUUGCCAUCAGAUGUGCCCAGAUGGGAUUAGCUUGUUGGUGAGGUAACGGCUCACCAAGGCGACGAUCCCUAGCUGGUCUGAGAGGAUGACCAGCCACACUGGAACUGAGACACGGUCCAGACUCCUACGGGAGGCAGCAGUGGGGAAUAUUGCACAAUGGGCGCAAGCCUGAUGCAGCCAUGCCGCGUGUAUGAAGAAGGCCUUCGGGUUGUAAAGUACUUUCAGCGGGGAGGAAGGUGUUGCGGUUAAUAACC